ACACACAGAUUAUUUUAUUAUUUUUAAGUUGUGGGCUAGUUCUUCACUAAUGUGAACUGCAUCUAAACUACUUAUCUCAUCCCUUUGAUCUGGGAUCAGUUAGUGCAAUCUUGAUUUAUUUUUUAUUUUAUAUUAUUUUUUUGAUAAUUACUGUAAAAAAAACUGUCAAUAUAUUGUGUUAUGUGGUAGUGUUAAAUGUUAAUAAAAUUCAUAUUGUUGUCAAGUCCAUCUUCAGGUGCAAAGGCUAUGCUGGCAUCAUCAAUUGUGGAUCAGUUUCCAUGCCUGAAGGACUGUCAAGGCACAGGCUAUGACGACGCAUGGUUCACCCCAGGGAGAGGGCAUAAACCCACAACAGGCUUUCUGGAAGAGCAUCUCCGUAAUGUCUGAAAAAGACUCCACUCUGGCAGAAGAGUGAAUUUAACAUCACAAGUGCCACAAGACACCCGAGUCAUUUUACCAGAACCAACUAGAACUCCAGAGCGGGCCAUCCAGUUGACGGAGUGACUGAAGAAUAACCUCUGGCCACAGUCCCAGGUUGGCCAACACAUGCUGGAGACUGCCAUCCAUAGGGCCCAGUGGAUCCCAUCACUGGGACUACAUCAAUGCUAGACAUUAGCACAGAGUUUCCAUGCUUAGUGGACACUCCAGGCAUGGUGAGCUAGAAUCUUACAAAAUAAAAUGUUGUGUUGUGGUGCUGGGAUUGUUUUUCGAUGUCAACUUUGUGCUAAAUUUUGGGAGUUCAUCUAGACUACCGUCUUUCAGAUACCAGGACUUGAAUCAAACACUGUCAAAUUAAUGAGAGCUCAGAUUGCUAGUUGAUAGUUCAAUGCAUGAAGUUUGAGAAAUUGUGACUAUUUUGUCCGUUUAAUGAUGUAAUAAAUAGAGAUGCACCGAUUUCAACUUACUAGGCUGUUUCAAAUUUCCAAUUUUUCAUUGAGUUUGAUCUGCCGAUAUCGAUUUUAGCCGAUUCCAAUUUCAUAUUUUCUAACGACUUUC